AGUGAACGCUGGCGGUAGGCCUAACACAUGCAAGUCUAACGGCAGCACAGUAAGAGCUUGCUCUUACGGGUGGCGAGUGGCGGACGGGUGAGGAAUAAAUCGGAAUCUACUUUUUCUUGGGGGAUAACGUAGGGUAACUUACGCUAAUACCGCAUACUACCUACGGGUUUAAGAAUGAGAUCUUCGGACCUUGCGUGAUUGUAUGAGCCGAUGUCGGUUUAGCUAGUUGGCGGGGUAAAGGCCCACCCAGGCGACGAUCCGUAGCUGGUCUGAGAGGAUGAUCAGCCACACUGGAACUGAGACACGGUCCAGACUCCUACGGGAGGCAGCAGUGGGGAAUAUUGGACAAUGGGCGCAAGCCUGAUCCAGCCAUACCGCGUGGGUGAAGAAGGCCUUCGGGUUGUAAAGCCCUUUUGUUGGGAAAGAAAAGCAGCAGGUUAAUACCCCGCUGUUCUGACGGUACCCAAAGAAUAAGCACCGGCUAACUUCGUG
rnacentral:rRNA from 1 species